rnacentral:rRNA from 1 species
AACGAACGCUGGCGGCAUGCCUAACACAUGCAAGUCGAACGAAGCCUUCGGGCUUAGUGGCGCACGGGUGCGUAACGCGUGGGAAUCUGCCCUUUGGUUCGGAAUAACAGUUGGAAACGACUGCUAAUACCGGAUGAUGACGAAAGUCCAAAGAUUUAUCGCCAGAGGAUGAGCCCGCGUAGGAUUAGCUAGUUGGUGUGGUAAAGGCGCACCAAGGCGACGAUCCUCAGCUGGUCUGAGAGGAUGAUCAGCCACACUGGGACUGAGACACGGCCUAGACUCCUACGGGAGGCAGCAGUGGGGAAUAUUGGACAAUGGGCGAAAGCCUGAUCCAGCAAUGCCGCGUGAGUGAUGAAGGCCCUAGGGUUGUAAAGCUCUUUUACCCGGGAUGAUAAUGACAGUACCGGGAGAAUAAGCCCCGGCUAACUCCGUGCCAGCAGCCGCCGUAA